rnacentral:rRNA from 2 species
GACGAACGCUGGCGGCGUGCUUAACACAUGCAAGUCGAACGGUGCGGCCCGCAAGGGUUGCACAGUGGCGGACGGGUGAGUAACUCGUGAACAAUCUGCCCCGAACUGGGGAAUAACACUUGGAAACAGGUGCUAAUACCGCAUAAGACCACGAAUCGGCAUCGGUUCGGGGUCAAAGAUUUAUAAACAUAACAAUAGGCAUAUACUUCUUGUAUUUGCCACCAACAGUUAUGUUGUAAAAAAUUUUAUAAACAAAAUUUUUUAUCGGUUUGGGAGGAGUUCGCGUAUCAUUAGUUUGUUGGUGGGGUAACGGCCCACCAAGACUGCGAUGAUUAACCGGCCUGAGAGGGUGAACGGUCACAAUGGAACUGAGACACGGUCCAUACUCCUACGGGAGGCAGCAGUGGGGAAUAUUGGGCAAUGGAGGCAACUCUGACCCAGCAACGCCGCGUGAAUGAAGAAGGUUUUCGGAUUGUAAAGUUCUUUUAUCAAUGACGAAUAAAAUGACGGUAAUUGAUGAAUAAGCCACGGCAAACUACGUGCCAGCAGCCGCGGUAAUACGUAGGUGGCAAGCGUUGUCCGGAAUGACUGGGUGUAAAGGGUGUGUAGGUGGUUUUUUAAGUUCAAUGUGAAAUCCCGUGGCUCAACUGCGGAACUGCAUUGGAUACUGGGAAACUUGAGUGAUGGAGGGGCAAGCGGAAUUCCAAGUGUAGCGGUAGAAUGCGUAGAUAUUUGGAGGAACAACAGAGGCGAAGGCGGCUUGCUGGACAUUAACUGACACUGAAACACGAAAGCGUGGGGAGCAAACAGGAUUAGAUACCCUGGUAGUCCACGCCCUAAACGAUGAAUAUUAAAUGUUGGCGGUAUCGACUCCGUCAGUAUUGUAGUUAACACGAUAAAUAUUCCACCUGAGUAGUACGGCCGCAAGGUUGAAACUCAAAGAAAUUGACGGGGACCCGCACAAGCAGCGGAGCAUGUGGUUUAAUUCGAAGAUACCCGAAAAACCUUACCAGGACUUGACAUCGCCUGAAUAGCCGCGAAAUCGGUGAAGCAGAAGCAAUUUUGCAGGCAGACAGAUGGUGCAUGGUUGUCGUCAGCUCGUGUCGUGAGAUGUUCGGUUAAGUCCGAUAACGAGCGCAACCCUUGCCGUUAGUUGCCAUCAUUAAGUUGGGAACCCUAACGGGACCGCCGUAGAUAAUACGGAGGAAGGUGGGGAUGACGUCAAAUCAUCAUGCCUCUUACGUCCUGGGCUACACACGUGCUACAAUGGCAACCACAAAGAGCAGCAAUAUAGUAAUAUGGAGCGAAUCUCAAAAAAGUUGUCCCAAUUCGGAUUGAGGGCUGCAACCCGCCCUCAUGAAAUCGGAGUUGCUAGUAAUCCCAAAUCAGCAUUGUUGGGGUGAGUGCGUUCCCGGGUC